rnacentral:rRNA from 1 species
UCUCCUUCUUAUCAGAAAAGGAAAGAACUCGAUGUGACCUUCUUCGCAACUAAUCGUGAGAUCUCGAGUUAGUUAGGGGUCGGCGGUGGAAGGUAGGGGUAGAGGCCGCUCCAGAGGGCGAGUAGGUAGGUAGGGGCGGAGGCCGGCCGGCCGGUCGCUAAGAGUAGGCAGGGGUAGAGUUAGCGGUAGACACCACGGGCUAAACGCCUGUUCGUCACCGCUCUCCCGUCUCCGUUCCCCUUGACAAGACAAGCGGCAACGUUCUCCCUGCCCCUCGGCCGGCCCGCCGCGUCGCUGUGGUGCAGGUGCGAGCAGAGGUGCUCCUCUGAUCAAUGACUUCAGGGAGACAACCUAGUUUCAGAGGGAGACGUCAAUCAGAUAGGACACCAAUGACUCAUUAACCUUUCGACCUAGAUCACCACGAGACGAUAUUUUAGCGAUUACCCAACGGCUCUAUGACGUCGUGAUUUACUGGAACUCGAGUACGAUGAUCUACUUUGCCGACUGGGUUUCCGGAAUGGUGAUAGUGAAGACUUUCUGUAGUGUUUGCUAAAGAGAUUGCUAGCUGUUUAGCCAUCCCCACCGAAACGUAACCAUAUAGUCCCUCAUGAACUCUCACCAUGUCAGCGACACUUCUCUAACUCGCUAUACACAUACCUACUCUUCUUUAAGGUACCUCUCCAAGUUACAAACUACUUCCGUUCCGUGUUUUUGUAUCAUGCCAAAAACCCUAUAACACGACUGUGUGUUCCCUUAUACAACUCGAUGUUGCCUUUUAAUCAGUACCGUCUACAUGCCGUUUCUAACGAAACGAAGCUUAUGUACAGGUUUCCCUCAGAUGCACUAAUAUAAUCACUACUCAGAACGCCUGAACUUACCUCUUUCGCGAUGGUUUAAUAGUAGCCUUAAACGGUUCCAAAUUUAAUAGAGGUACUCUUAGCAUAACAAGUGAAUCUAGACUUUGGUCUUUUACAUGAGGAUCUACUGUUAUACCAUGGUUUCUAAUGACUGAAACCAGAGAGUUCCAUAAAACUCCUUUCCGUUUGAUCGGUUAGAUAAUGAAGUUUAUAAAGACCAUGUGACCCUAUAUAACGUGGUCUUGAGAUGCUACCCCUUUUUUAGUGUUAGGUCAGUCUAUAUAUAUCAGAACCAUAAUAUUAGUAUCUCUAUGAUUGUCCUUCCUUUCCCACAGGGCUGCAACUUCAACAUGAACUCUCUACCACACUUUCCAACCCUUUUAGUGAUCUUCUGUGUGUACACCUUGUUCAUGCUCAAACGUGACUUUAUCCCUAUCUCACGUCACUGAAGUUAGGUCGUUUCUCCGGACAAUCAUGUGUGUUCUAUUAGCUUUCCGAGUUCCUUUGUCUUUGAUGUCUACUCCAUAGGUCACAGAAUAGGUCGUGACAUGGGUGGUUCGAUAAACAGGUAGGCGUAGAGGAGACGAAAGGGACGCAUGGCUUGUUCGACUAGGGUUCAAGCGACUUGGAAUCUUUGAAGUGUCUACUUGUAAAACGUAAAUCCGAACACCUUAGGAUACGUCUUCUUUGACUCGCUGCGAAACGGUUUAACGGUGACAUGCCUCAGCACAGCGGCUCCAGUUGUGUGUGAGAAUCAAACUGUGAGGUCCUUGCCCUGCUUUUUAGGUAAGUAAACCAGGAUCUCUCGUCAUGUAAAUUCCUACGUGUAUACGGUUACAUGACAUCGCUUAAAUCUCCCCUGUUUAAAAAUCUUCUUUGGUUUCUCUUUCCAUUAUACCACGUCGUUCACUAUCACUUUCGACAACGAUGAUGACGUGUCGCUCUCUAUUGCAGACUCGAUUAGGGUUUAUUUUGCUUCUAUAAUAAGUUCUUCUCGGGUAAGUGCAGAGACCUGACGGUUCUACAAUUGGAUUGGUUCGUUACCUAUUAUUGUCCGGUAUGUGCCCCUAUACAAACGUAAACCCUGCCAGUUUGUGUCUCCUUUCAUCUAAGCAAAUUUCAGAGGUGGCUGUUUCAACAAAACCAAUUUAAAUAGCAUGCUUUUGUUACCAAACACCGACCUCGGCUUCUACCGAAAUAAGUGUAGAUGUUAAUGCUUUGAUUUGCCGUCGUUCAGGGUUCAAAGUGUCGAGUACGACCUUUUUACUGUAGUGACCGGCAAGUAGGUUCGUUUGGCAUGAACUACAGUACCUCAAGACUACUUUACUUCGAAACCCUAACCCUGUUUCGGACCCUCACGUGUGUUUGUAAGUUCACGUUUGUGAACCCAAUAUAAACGGUUCAGUACAAACUGGGUUUUUUGUGGUUGUCAAAACAGUGACGGAGUCGGUUAGUGUACUAUCUACAAACCCUAAAACUAAGAGGAGUUACAUUUAUGUGUGAGAGACCCGUGACCCUGUCUCAAUUGACGGAACUAAAGAAGUGUGUACUGUUAGUCGUCAUAAACUAAUGACCGAGAUCACUAACAUCGCGCUUCUAUACCCUGUACGUGUCGUUAUACACAUGAGUAUGUGAUGUGCGAAGGUACAGAGGCCAAUACAGACAGUACAAAGUAGGGUUAGAAGUCCAAGAUUAAUGUCCAAAUCUUCUACCGUGACAAAUAAACACCUCAAGUUGAUUAAAGUCCGAACUCUCCUAGUAAUUGGGAGGACAUUAACUUGGGGGACGAACCCCAAAACCUACCUAUAUGUUAUAAAAAUCGUCGGGGCAUUCACUUGUACAAACCCCAGAGCGUACAAGCUACUUCAGUUUUCCCAAACACAAACCUUCUCCUCUCUGCCAUCGUUACCACCUACAGCCGUUACAUUUAUUAGUCCUUCUUAGUUCAGUAGUGUCACAUGGUGUCUAUUCUCGACUGUUUAGAUGAGUCAACUAGCUGUUGUCACCCGAUGAACUUCACGUGGGCAGACUGGAGGCGAAGGGGAACGUUGGUGUGUUCAGUUGGUGCACGAGUGACCUGGAUUGUUUGGUGUGUAUACUCGCGCACCGUAAAUCCGAACAUGUCUUCUUAUUCUCGGUGAGCAAGCCCCUUCUUCUUCUAAGUGAAAAUAGUUUACACGGCUAAAUACCUAAAUAUCGAAGGUCCAGGUGCAUGUGAGAUCAGCACUGUUGUUUUCUCACCGGUCUAGUUCCUCUACUGUGUUCGAACCUAGACGAAGACGUCUCGUCAUAUAGCCCCCUGUUCAAGUAGCAGGGUAAGCUUUUGCUCUGACUCACACAACUAGAUAAACUCCUUAAUUUUCUCUACCCCUUACACCACGUACUUAACUGUGACUUUCGACAAAAAAUACGUGUUCUUCUCCACUGUGCGCUCUAGUCUAGUCGGUGCUUCUUUCAACUACGUGAACCUAAGCCGUUAUCCGACCACACGGAUCUACGUGUAGGUUGUCUCUGUACCUAGAAUUGUACGUUCAAAAAACCUCUACAAGUGUACACCCUAGAACAGAGAGUCCUUUUCUUCCGGGAGAUAAGAAAAGUACAGAUGGUCUUACCUUGUUCUCCCGAUAGUCGCUGUCAAUCUAAGGAAUUUAAAUAGCGUGCCUUCGUUACCAAAGACCGACCACGUCUGCUACCGAAGUAGGUACACACGUGGAUGCCUUGUCUCUAUCAUGUUGUCUAGUGCUCAAAGUCUCGACCAAGAAGGUCACAGUGUCGUUACUGGUAGGUAGGUUGGGUCGGUAUACACGACAGGAGUCGAAUACUUUCGGGCUAAUCCGAAACCUUGACCCUUCUCCCGACCGUCACGUGUGCUUGAAAGCUGCUACUUGCGAGACCUUGACAGGCUGUCUAGUGGAAGUUGGGUUUCCUACGGUUGACAAAACGAUCGCGCAGGCUUCUAGUCUGUCAUUUCCAAACCUUGGAACUGAGGGGUUUUAGAUCGAUGUGAGACAAACCCGUAAACCGAGUUCACUUGACGGAACUAAAGAAGCGUGUACGACUAGUUGUCAUAGACUAAAGACCGAGUCUACUGAACUGGCGGUCCUAUACCCUGGAUCUCUUGUCCCACACACAGAUAUGUUAUUCUCGAGAGUACCGAGGCCAAGAAAGUCAAGAUACAGAAGAAGGACUAGUAGGUAUAGAUUGAUAUCCGAAUUUUCUACCGUGAGAAGUAAACAAGUCGAGGCGAUUAAAAUCCGAACACUCCUAGUAACUGAAUCCGACAUCGUUUCAAGCGUCACAGUUAGACUACCCUAGUCAUUCCCAACACUAACUUGUUCUCCCCCGUCACAGUUAGUACCUAUAUCUGGGACUUGUUGUUCCACCCUAAUAGUCACUUCACCCCCGAUUGUACCAACUACGUCACUCUAACCUACAACGAAGCCUUCGUGUUGAUCUGUAGAAGGUUCUUGUGUUUCUCCUAAACAGUUCGUGUUGAUCUGUAGAAGGUUCUUGUGUUUCUCCUAAACAGUCCACGUCACAGUCCCUGUCCUUUAUGCUUAAGGUGUGUCCGCACUCCUUACGUUACCCUAUAUUGUUAUCUAAUCACGAAUGUCUUAAAGCGGGUGUCUCUUUUCUUUAAUCUUUCACUAAUGUGGUCGUACUCAUUGUCUUACUUUCGAUUUAGAUAAACACGCUUUUGUCUACCUGUUUCUCGUCUUUUAUUUUUGACACCCACCUACAACCUCUUAGGAGAGGUGACUAAAAAACAACAACACUUUGACUAUCAGAGACGUGACUAUAUAUGUAACGUAUAUAACGAACCAUUUUAAAACCUGUCUACCUCUUGAACACACGAAAAGUAGUUAAAGAAUGUUCUUAUCCUUUAAUGUCUCCCUCAUGAUUACACACGUAACGAAAUACUAUCUGUGUUUGUAAUGUACGUAGUGAUGUACCUUGUUGAGUGGUAAGACUUUUAUCUAUGGCCGUUCUUGAGUCGAAUCGACCGGGUUGUCCCGACUACCGUAAGUUCGUUUCCGUAUGUGUUCACCCUUAAAGGUAAUAUCUUGAACCGAACAUAUAAGGUUACUACCCGAAGGAGUUUACGGACUCCAGAAGUACUCGUUCGUUCAACCUACGUGUGGGUGAAUCAAAGUCAAACUCGAAAGUAUGUGAAUAUCGAGAUCACGUAGGCAACGUACCGUUAGGGAUGAGUAUACAAUUAAAAGUAGUAAAUAGCAUCAGUGUGCCGUUCCCGUACAAAUCAAAGGGACGUGUGAACACUGUUUUCAAUUGAUCGUUGAUUCUGAUACUGUUCACCCCAUACACUAAUUACUUUACACCGUUCGAUGUUGACACCGAUGUUGGUUUGCGAACGGUGUUAAUACCGUCUUUUCACACCGGUUGAUACCUACGGUUGGUCUGUACGGGAUUUAUUAAGUUGCUAUCAAACAACGUGAUAUAUAACUUCAAGUAACAACGUCGAAGUGUUUUAGUUUAUCGGAGGUAUCAUCUUACGACUUUUGACAUUGUUUUUUUUUAGGUAGAGAGUAUGGUGAGAAUACCGACCAACCUACGUCUUCGAACCAAAAUCAAUCGAAGUACAUGUCCUCCUAUCACUCACCGUAACUAAAACAUCUUUACACUACGUAACCUUUGUACUCAAGUUCAGUUUUGUCUGAUUGAACUCAAGUUGAAUUUUUGUACUACUCUUAAAGGUCGGUAAAUAGAGCCCUUGAGUUUCUACCUAUUCGAUUUCGUCACACUUAUAGAUGUUCUACUAGUACAGGCCCUUCUUACAGUAGGGCUCAUUUUAUAACACUAACAGUACGUUCUUGUUUAAAACCAAACAUGUUCUUAACGUGACACACAGGGUUUAAACAGAAUGACUUCCUUACAUAAGGUUUUGCCAAAGAAUGUAUUCUGAAAAAAGUCACGUUCCUAACUCUGAAAAAGAAAAUAACUAAGAAUGUGAAAAAUGUGAUUUUUGAUUAGAACACGCUGACUAUUCUAACAGGUUUUAGUUUAUUGAAGAGGUGUGACUUAUUAAUCGAUGUACCACAUUAUAUUAGCUGAGUAUACUGUCGAUUUUUAUACACACAUGCACUUCAUCGGACUGUUAAAGUGUUUGCAGGAGAAUCGUCCUUACGUACACAUUUACACAUGACGUCGUGAUACUGUCAGAAAUUAUCAUGCAUCUAUGUAAGUUCAAAUUUGUUAUUUCUUAGGUUGAAGGUACCACUUCUAACAAAGCCUAUGGUUAAAGUUACGAUCAAGAGAUCACUCUAUAACGUUUAAGUGAAGUUCUCUUAGUUCAAUGUUUGUAUAAACUACAGUGACCCUAACAUCUCAAUGAUAGAAGACAGUACCACAAAGAAACUUUUAUUCGCGUUCAAGUGUCAAACAGCUGCGGUAAGCAAAUAACCCUG